UACAGAGGAGCCAAGCGUUGUUCGGAAUUACUGGGCGUAAAGCGCACGUAGGCGGAUUUGUAAGUCAGGGGUGAAAUCCCGGAGCUCAACUCCGGAACUGCCUUUGAUACUGGUAAUCUAGAGAUCGGAAGAGGUUAGUGGAAUUCCCAGUGUAGAGGUGAAAUUCGUAGAUAUUGGGAAGAACACCAGUGGCGAAGGCGGCUAACUGGUCCGAUACUGACGCUGAGGUGCGAAAGCGUGGGGAGCAAACAGG
rnacentral:rRNA from 1 species